AUGCCGUGUUGCACCGAGUGUUGCGGGAGCAGCUGCUCGGCCCCUGGCUCCCGCGACGUGGCCUUCAACUUUGGGGCUCCCUCGGGCACCUCGGGCACCGCUGCGGCCCCCGCAGCCCCGCGGGUGGGUUCAGAGGAUUCGGGACGCCGUCUACAGCGGCAGGUUCUGCAUCCAGCUUUUCUGCCCCAGCUGACACAGGCACUCAUGCAUUAGGUAGUCUCUCCAGUCAGCCUACACAAGCUCCUGCCCAGUCCAACCAACUGAUAAAUACUGCAAGUGCUCUUUCUACUCCAGCGCUGUCAGGAGAUGAGAGAGAUGCCAUUUUGGCAAAAUGGAAUCAACUGCAGGCCUUUUGGGGAACAGGGAAAGGAUAUUUCACCUAUAACAUUCCACCAGUGGAAUUCACACAAGAAAAUCCCUUUUGCCGAUUUAAGGCAGUAGGUUAUAGUUGUAUGCCCAAUAAUAAAGAUGAAGAUGGGCUAGUGGUUUUAGUUUUCAACAAAAAAGAAACAGAUACUCGAAGCCAGCAACAGCAGUUGGUAGAAUCAUUGCAUAAAGUUUUGGGAGGAAACCAGACCCUUACAGUAAAUGUAGAGGGUAUUAAAACAUUGCCAGAUGAUCAGACAGAACUUGUCAUUUAUGUUAUUGAACGUUCCCCAAAUGGUACUUCAAGAAGAGUUCCAGCUGCAACACUAUAUACCCAUUUUGAACAAACCAAUAUAAAAACACAACUGCAGCAACUUGGUGUAACCCUCUCUAUGACUAGAACAGAACCUUCUCCUGCACAGAUCAAACAGCUUUUGCAGAAUCCUCCUGCUGGUGUUGAUCCUAUUAUCUGGGAACAAGCCAAGGUGGAUGACCCUGAUUCUGAAAAGUUAAUUCCUGUACCAAUGGUGGGUUUCAAAGAACUUCUUCGGAGACUGAAGUUUCAAGAUCAGAUAACUAAGCAGCAUCAGACCAGAUUAGAUAUUAUAUCUGAAGAUAUUGGUGAAUUACAGAAGAAUCAAACUACAACUAUGGCCAGAAUUGCACAAUACAAGAGGAAACUCAUGGACCUUUCCCAUAGAACCUUACAGGUCCUAAUCAAACAAGAAAUUCAGAGGAAGAGUGGUUAUGCCCUCCAAGCUGAUGAAGAGCAGUUGCGAGUUCAGCUAGAUACAAUUCAGUGUGAACUAAAUGCACCUACUCAGUUUAAGGGCCGACUAAAUGAACUGAUGUCCCAAAUCAGGAUGCAGAAUCGUUUUGGAGUGGUCAAAUCUGAAGAAAUAUAUUACAUAGAUGCAGAUCUGUUAAGAGAAAUCAAGCAGCAUUUGAAACAGCGACUGGAAGGCCUUAGCCACUUGAUUAGCAUCAUAAAAGAUGAUCUAGAAGAUAUAAAGUUGGUAGAAUAUGGAUUGAAUGAAACCAUCCACAUCAGAGGUGGCGUAUUUAGUUGACAGAUCACAAACUUGUUAAAGGUUCGUGAACUGUAUCUUCUUGCUACAUCAGGCCUUCCCUAAAAAAGAAACUGACCACACAUGGAGAAAAAAAGGAAGAAAAUCCUCUUCUGGCUUGGUUUUUAAGGAGGUUACUGACAAAUUAUUGUUCUUCAGAUUCGAAAUAAGUCACUUCACAACUCUUCAAAGACAGCCUUUGGAAGAUUCCAUCUAAAAGCUGUUAUUUACUUUGAGAAGUACAUAAUUAACAAAAACAUGUACUAUUAUACAUUUUUACAACAGCAUUUUUCUUAAGAAUAAUCAUUGUUUAAUGAUUAUUCUCCAUUGAGCCUGUACUAUGCUUUCCAUAGCAAGUAAAUAUGCCAGAUCUGCUUUGCCCAUAAAAUGUAUGACUACUUGGCUGUUGGAGAUUUUUACUUCAGAAUAUAAAUGUACAUCAGUUUUUAUAUUUGUGAAUUCACCUGUGGGAGGAGUAAAGAAAUUCAAGAGUAGUUAAUGAUUAAUGUGGUUUUCUUUUCAUUCUAUAAAAGAUUUGAAAAUAUAUUUUUAUAUUAUUUUACUUAUUUGAAAUUCACAGAUACCCUUAUAAGCAAUUAGUAUAUAACAAAAUUACAUUUUAUCAUUUUUGCAACUUUUUGUUUUUUAAACCUUUUUAUUUCUAAUAAAGAUGAAAAUAAAUUCUUGAUUAUAAUUACUUUUAU